GACUACAGUGGCACAAUUGGCUAGCGCGUGAGACUUUUAAGCAGCUCUGCUAUAAAGAUUAUCUCAAGGUUGAGAGUUCGAGCCUCUCCGUACGUCG
rnacentral:tRNA from 1 species